rnacentral:rRNA from 1 species
GGUGACCUCUUGGGAAGUCCACGUGUUGCACCCCUU